rnacentral:rRNA from 1 species
UACGAAGGGGGCUAGCGUUGCUCGGAAUCACUGGGCGUAAAGGGUGCGUAGGCGGGUUUUUAAGUCAGGGUGAAAUCCUGGAGCUCAACUCCAGAACUGCCUUUGAUACUGAAGAUCUUGAGUUCGGGAGAGGUGAGUGGAACUGCGAGUGUAGAGGUGAAAUUCGUAGAUAUUCGCAAGAACACCAGUGGCGAAGGCGGCUCACUGGCCCGAUACUGACGCUGAGGCACGAAAGCGUGGGAGCAAACAGG